UGGGGAAUUUUGCACAAUGGGGGAAACCCUAAUGCAGCGACGCCGCGUGAUUUAGAAGGCCUUCGGGUUGUAAAAAUCUUUUUUAUGGUAAGAACAUGACAGUACCAUACGAAUAAGGACCGGCUAAUUACGUGCCAGCAGCCGCGGUAAUACGUAAGGUCCGAGCGUUGUCCGGAAUCAUUGGGCGUAAAGGGUACGUAGGCGGAUAAGCAAGUUAGAAGUGAAAUCCUAUAGCUCAACUAUAGUAAGCUUUUAAAACUGCUAAUCUUGAGGUAUGGAAGGGAAAGUGGAAUUCCUAGGGUAGCGGUGAAAUGCGCAGAUAUUAGGAGGAAUACCGGUGGCGAAGGCGACUUGCUGGCCAUAUACUGACGCUGAGGUACGAAAGCGUGGGUAGCAAACAGG
rnacentral:rRNA from 1 species